AGCCUGUUCUCUGGGACAUCAGGUGACAGACUAGCUGUAGAGUCAUAAUUUCUCACUUUCAUUAAGUAGCUGUCCUUAUCAGUAGGAUAGGUGAACAGCAGCAGAAACUUUUCCCUAGGGAAUUUCAGAGGCCAUGAGGUUGGAAACUGGAGUCUUAGUUGUCAUAACCUAGUUCCCUUGCGUGGUGCUGCAGAUCCCCAUUGUCUGGGGAAGUCAGCUUGGCUGCUCACACAGUGGGGCAAACAUGGGCUCCAGGGUGCAACUUGGGACUCAGAUCUGGGCUCUGCCACUUGUUAUCUCACGUCUCUAAGCCUCCAUUUCUUUCUCUGAAAAAUGGAGAUACUAUCUACUUCUCUUAUUUUAAGCUGUGGAACUAAUUUAUGUUGCAUUCCCAGCCCUCAAUUAACCGUGGAGUGCACAAUCUGAUUGAAAGAACCCGAUCGAGGCCAUUUUCUGGGUGUGCAUCCCUGUCUUCCUCUUUGGACAGCCUCUUGGGAAGGAAACAUACCAUUUAAAAAAGAAAAGUAGGGUUUGUGAGUGGAGCUGCAGCCAUCUUGCCCGACAAAUUGACCUCUUUGGUGAUUGGGGCUACAUUUUUUAUCCAAGUCAGGUCCAGAGUCUCUUAAUGCCAUUUUGUCUCUGACCAUGUGUGCCACCCAGGAGGAUCUGGGGUCGUAUCGUUCCAAGCCAGAAGAAGCCUAACGAUUGCUUGUUGAAAGAAAAUUGUUAUGGGCUCUCUAGGUAUUUGCAGCCUGACAAAUAACUGUCUUUCUCAAAGAGUUUAGACACACAUAACUAAACACUGAAUACCCAUAUGGCCCAUCACAGAUGAAAAGGUGGUAAAUAAGAAAAGCCCAGUGUAAUCAAUAAUGUUGUCUUCUAAACUACAUGAAGAAAAAUUCCAGUCAAUAUCUGGGAUAGUCAGUUCUUUUAAAACCAGGGAAUGAUGAGAAUGAGACGAUUCCAUAUAUAGAAAACGAUGUGAGGAAAUCUUUAUUCUAAUUCAAAAUGUUCACAUUUUUGCAAUUCAUGAGAUUUCUCUGUAGCAAAAGAGGAAUAUGAUUGUAUAUAAAAUUUAGUGGCUCUGAACAAAAUUGAGUAAAUGCUGGAAAAAAUUUUGCCGUGUCAUUUCGCCUACAAAAUGAUAAAGGAAAAUAAUAGCUAAAAAGGCAGCAAGAAAUAAGCAGGCUCUGGUUGGGAGUAAUUUUUUUUUCAAAUGCAUUUUUUAAUUAAAAAGAAAUUGCCUCAGUUAACUGUUUUCAGAAAUAAGGCAUAAGAAUAACCUAAAAACACUGCUUUCUGGAAAGCAUAGAUAUUUAUUUUAAAUCAACUUGGUUAAAAGACCUUUAACUUGCUAUAUAGCUCAGUGACUAAAUGUUACUGCACUAAGAAACCACAGACUAUUUUUCUCAGGAUCUUUUAUUUUUUCCCUUAGAGAGGGAGAUUGUCUCUUCCCUGGUGGAGUUCAGUGAAUCAGAAUAUUGGUCAAAUAUGUAUUGAAUGCACAUGAUUUGACCCGUGUGGAUCCACUCUUUAGAGAAAAUGGCCUUGAUCGGGCUCUUUCAAUCAGAUUGUACACUCUACGGUUGAUUGAGGGCUGGGAAUGCAACGUAAAUUAGUAUGCUUUUUUUAAUGUGUAGAGAGUGGUUUCUGCUGCUUUUGAACAAGCUAAAGAAAUGUUUUUCCCAUGAAUCUCUGGGCAUCCUGGGUAUAUCUGUCUGUUCUAGCCCUGACUUCCUCACCGUACAUGGGGUGCUUCACUCACUUAGGCCUCCCAUCCCCUACCUACAUCAUCCUCCCUCCCCAGUCUGAACACUCCCGCACUCUGCCCAGCUGUGCCAGGAAGAAUGGCCACUCAGGGACAAGGCAGCAGGACCACUGUUGUUCUUUCCUUCUUUCAAACACGUAGGCACUUGGUGUGGGCACUCUUCUAGGUGCUGGAGAGAGAGAAAGUAAUGUGUAGAAAAGCAAAUACUGCAUGAUCUCACUUAUAUGUAGAAUCUAAAUAAGUCAAAUCCAUAGAAGCAGAGGGUAGAAUGGUGGUUACCAGGAGUGUGAGUGAAGAAAUGGGGAGAUGUAGGUCAAAGGGUACAAAGUUACAAAGUUACAGUCAUAUAGGGUGAAUAAGCCUAGAGAUCUAAUGCACAGCCUGAUGACUAUAGUUAAUACUGUAUUGUAUACUGGAAAUUUACAAAAAGUAGAUAUUAUGUGUUCUCACUGUAGAGUCCUAAGUAGAGAAAGGGAAUUAGGCUUGUGGGAGCAGGAGAAAGCAAAAAGAGAAAACAGAUAAACUGCAAGUUUACCUUUCUUCAUGGUUCAGGACACAGCCCUCCUGUGCAAAUAACUCUCAAUCUUCCUGCAUCCAGCUAUCACCAGACACCUGCAAGUCAGUUCACUGCAACCUUGGCAUUAUCAAUAUUGCACAAAGCCCUCUUCGACAGACAGCAUAAACACUAUCCUAUAAAAUCUCCAGCAAGCCUUUGUCUCUUGGCAAUUGGCUUCUCUCUUUGAGGCUGUCCGUUCUCUCUCUGGCAAUGUAUUUUUUCACUUUCUCUAAUAAAUCUGACUUCCUUGAGCUACAACUGUCUUGGCAAAUUCUUUUAACCCUGCGCCAUUGACUGUGGUUCCCCAAAAACACUCACCACAAAAAAAGUAACUGUGAAAAGAUGAGUAUGUUAAGUAGCUUGACUGUAGUAAUCAUUUCACUAUGUAUAUGUAUAUCAAAACAUCAUGUUGUAUGACUUCAAUAUAUAUUUUUUUAUUUAAAAAAGUAAUGGUAAGCAUUACUUCUGCCUGGGAAGAACCAAGAUGAGUGCUAAGGAGAAGUUGGGGGAGAGGCUUUGCUUUUGAUUGAGAGGACAGUUUGAAUGUCAAGAAAGAGGCCAACUGCAAAGAUCUAGGGGCAGGGAAUUCAGGCACAGAGAUAGGUAACUGUACAGGGCCUACGGUGGACAGGAAAAGGCCAGUGUGAUUGGAUCACAGUGUGGGAGGGGGAUGGCUUUUGGAGGGAGGUGCAUUUGAAGUUGUAGUAGGAAAGAGGGGCCAGACCAUUUAUCACUAUUUACUGAUAUCUCUCCAUUUUCCUCUCUAGCUCCACCCUCCACCCUGUUCUAUGGCCCUGGGCGUGACUUGCUCUUGCCCCUUGCCUUCUGUUUGGAUCCUGCCAAUGAGGACUCCUAGCAGGAGAUGGGGGCUCUCAUAUUUAACUGAAAGGCUCAGCUCCACGCAGCGUUUCUGUCUCCAGCCCACACAGCACGAUGAGAUAAAGACUAGAGGCUGCUCACUGCUGAGAGUGGACCAUCCAGCUCAUUUGGUCACAUAAUUUCCAGCCAGCCACCUUAUGGGCAAGAUUUUGGCUCACCUGUAAGCUAUUAGCUGGAAAAUACUGGCUUCAUGAAAUGGCUUGGAAGAUUUGGAGGCAACCUAAAUGUCCAUCAACAGAUGAAUGGAUAAAGAACAACAGGGUGACUAAAGUCAAUAAUAAUUUAAUUAUACAUUUAAAAAUAACUAAAAGAGUGUAAUUGGAUUGUUUGUAACACAAAAGAUAAAUGUUUGAGGGAAUGAAUACAUGAAGCGAUUAUUUGCAUGAUGUGAUUAUUUGCAUUGCAGGCCUGUAACAAAAUAUCUUAUGUACCCCAUAAAUAUACACACCUACUAUGUACCCACAAAAAUUAAAAAUUUUUAAAAAAUGACUUGGGAAGUUUGUCUCCUCUAUUUCCUGAAGAAGUUUGGGAAGGAUUGGUAUUAUUUCUUCUUUAAAUGUUUGGUAGAAUACAUCAGUGUAGCUAUUUGGCUGGAGUUUUACUUGUGGGACAGUUUUGAUGUAAGAAUUCAAUUUCUUUAACAGAUACAGAACUACUCUGGUUAUUCCUUCUUUUUGAGUGAGCUUUGAUAGUUUGUGGAUUAAAUGGCAAAUAUUCAUUUUCUUUGUCAGAUGUAUUGGCAUAAAGUUGCUUAUAUAACCCCUUAUUAUCCUUUAAAUAACUAUAUGAUCUGUAGUAAUGACUCCUCUUUCAUUCUUGAUAUUGGCAAUUUGUGUUUUUCUUAAUCAGUAAGACUGACUAGACGUUUAUCAGUUUUUAAAAUUGAUCUUAAGAAAGUGUCUGAUUUUGUUUUUUUCAAUUUCUACGUUUUUCUGUUUCAUUGAUUUCUGCUCUUAUCCUUAUUUACUUUAUUCUAAUUAUUUGGGUUAAAUUUACUCUUAUUUUCUAGUUGAUUUAGUUGGAGAUUUAAAUUACCUGAGACCUUCCUUCCUAAUACAGACAUUUAGUGCUAUAAAUUUUCUUCUAAGCACUGUUUUAUCUCUAUCCCCAAAAUUUUGUGAUGCUGUGUUUUCAUUUUCCUUCAUCUCAAAAUACAUAUAUAUAUUUUAGAUUUUUAGGUUCGUGAGUACAUGUGCACAUUUAUUAUAUAGGUAAAUUGCAUGUCACAAGGGUUUGGUGUACAGACUAUUUCAUCACCCAGGUGAUAAACCUGAUACGUAGUUUUUCAGUCCUCACCCUCCUCCCAUCCUCCAUCCUCAAGGAGGCCCCAAUGUCUAUUGCUCUCUUCUUUGUGCCCAUGUGUACUUAAUGGUUAGCUUCCAUUUAUAAGUGAGAACAUGUGGCAUUUGGUUUUCUGUUCUUGUGUUAGUUAGUUUAGGAUAAUGGUCUCCAGUUCCACCCAUGCUGCUGCAAAGGACAUGAUCUCUUUUAUGACAUGGUGUCCCUUGUAAUUUCUUUUUUAACACAAGCAGUUGUUGAGAAAAGUUUUAGUUGUUUUAAAAAUAUUGAGUUUUUAAAAGAUAUCUUUCUG
rnacentral:lncRNA from 10 species